rnacentral:rRNA from 1 species
CCUACGGGUGGCAGCAGUGAGGAAUAUUGGUCAAUGGACGAGAGUCUGAACCAGCCAAGUAGCGUGAAGGAUGACUGCCCUAUGGGUUGUAAACUUCUUUUAUACGGGAAUAAAACGUUCCACGUGUGGGAUUUUGUAUGUACCAUAUGAAUAAGGAUCGGCUAACUCCGUGCCAGCAGCCGCGGUAAUACGGAGGAUCCGAGCGUUAUCCGGAUUUAUUGGGUUUAAAGGGAGCGUAGGUGGAUUGUUAAGUCAGUUGUGAAAGUUUGCGGCUCAACCGUAAAAUUGCAGUUGAAACUGGCAGUCUUGAGUACAGUAGAGGUAGGCGGAAUUCGUGGUGUAGCGGUGAAAUGCUUAGAUAUCACGAAGAACUCCGAUUGCGAAGGCAGUUCACUGGACUGCAACUGACACUGAGGCUCGAAAGUGUGGGUAUCAAACAGGAUUAGAUACCCGAGUAGUC